ensembl:miRNA MIR451A microRNA 451a
UUGGGAAUGACGAGGAAACCGUUACCAUUACUGAGUUUAGUAAUGGUAAUGGUUCUCUUGCUGCAUCCAAA